GAUGAACGCUGGCGGCGUGCCUAAUACAUGCAAGUCGAGCGAACAGACGAGGAGCUUGCUCCUCUGACGUUAGCGGCGGACGGGGGAGUAACACGUGGAUAACCUACCUAUAAGACUGGGAUAACUUCGGGAAACCGGAGCUAAUACCGGAGAAUAUAUUGAACCGCAUGGUUCAAUAGUGAAAGACGGUUUUGCGGUCACGUAUAGAUGGAUCCGCGCCGCAUUAGCUAGUUGGUAAGGUAACGGCUUACCAAGGCAACGAUGCGUAGCCGACCUGAGAGGGUGAUCGGCCACACUGGAACUGAGACAGGGCCCAGACUCCUACGGGGAGCAGCAGCAGGGACUCUUCCGCAAUGGGCGAAAGCCUGACGGAGCAACACCGCGUGAGUGAUGAAGGUCUUCGGAUCGUAAAACUCUGUUGUUAGUGAGGAACAAAUGUGUAAGUAACUAUGCACGUCUUGACGGUACCUAAUCAGAAAGCCACGGCUAACUACGUG
rnacentral:rRNA from 1 species